UACGGGGGGGGUAAGCGUUAUUCGGAAUUAUUGGGCGUAAAGGGCGCGUAGGCGGCUUUUCAAGUGACGGGUGAAAUCCCUCGGCUUAACCGAGGAACUGCCUGUCAGACUGGAAGGCUUGAGACCGGGAGAGGUGAGUGGAAUUCCCAGUGUAGCGGUGAAAUGCGUAGAUAUUGGGAGGAACACCAGUGGCGAAGGCGGCUCACUGGACCGGAACUGACGCUGAGGCGCGAAAGCGUGGGGAGCAAACAGG
rnacentral:rRNA from 1 species